rnacentral:rRNA from 1 species
GCGCGAAAACUUUACAAUGCGGGCAACCGUGAUAAGGAAACCCCGAGUGCCACCACAGGGUGGCUGUCCACCAGUGUAAACAACUGGUGAAGAAAGGGCCGGGCAAGACCGGUGCCAGCCGCCGCGGUAAUACCGGCGGCUCGAGUGGUGGCCGCUUUUACUGGGCUUAAAGGGUCCGUAGCUGGAUCUGUGUGUCCCUUGAGAAAUCCAUCGGCUUAACUGAUGGGCGUUCAGGGGAAACUGCAGUUCUAGGGACCGGGAGAGGUGAGAGGUACUGCCGGUGUAGGA